ensembl:lncRNA
AAUGAUUUUAUUGAGAUUUACUUACAGGAGUAUCAAUAAGGGAUUACUUACAGGAAUAAGGGUGACUCAAAGUCAGUUGCAUCACCAAAAAGUACACUGAGAAGGGGUGACCACUCAAAAAACUUCAACCCUGUAGCUGCUCCUCACACAACUUUCAGGCCGUCAUAAUAGUUAAAAAAUUUAAGUACUUCAUUAUCUUAUGAUUUCUUUUAUAUACUUAUUCAUAUGAAUAAAGUUAGAGCAGAAAAGAGAGAGAUUAUAAUACAUAGAAAAUGAAAUCCAGAGAAUGAUCUGAGGAUUCUUUGAAAACAUACAAUAAACUGGAAAAUCGUGAAGAAUUUCAAGACAUAUAUGAAAUAUCAAAAUUAGGCCAAAGUUGGAGGUUUCACAAGCCUCCCCCUCCACAUAUCAUAGGCUAUUGCGAUUGUUCUUGGUUACCACACAGAACUUGACAGUAAGACCUUAUUACUGAAAACACCACACAUCAAGUCAUAGAGCAAUUAGGAAAUCAUAGCUUAUACUGCCCUAGAAGCUUCAUCCUUCUGGCUAGCUGUCAUAGUGCUAGAUGAUGCUGUGCAUGCUACCAGGGGAGAAGACCUAACAUCAAGUUCACCCGACUGAGAAGCCUCUGAGCUACAAUUACAGAUCAGUCUGACAAGACAUGGCCAUGAGCAUGGCAUGGAUGUUAGAAUAACCAACCACUUUUUGACUGGAUUUCAGGCCCAUUUCACACAAUCCACAAGAUAAAACGCAAGUCUGGCAGCAUUAAUGUGGAGAACUUUCUACUAAUCUACUAUUAUUCUGUUAAAGGGUAUGUAUCUUUACCCAUUGAAAAUUUAUCUUCGUCACAGAAGAUGGGCUUUGUUGUCUUUGACGUCGAUGGCAAUUAAGAGCCUCACAAUGGGUCAACAUGCAGAGAGUAAGAGAUUUUGAAGGGCUCAGCUCUAAAUGGAGCAUCUACCUACAAUACAUUUCUUCUCUCAAAGGACCAGGGAUUAUUAUGGAUUAGGAAGCCAAAGGACUGCGAGAGCCAGAAAGUGGAUUAUUACAGUCAAACAGUGUGUUCUCGAUACAACAGGACAGUUGCACAUACUAACUGACAACAGCUGUGACGGCAUACACAAGUUCAAGCCAGACAACUGUCCCAGCACGGAAGUGAGAGGUGUGCAGAAAGGCCCACUCCUGAGUAGUUAUUGGCAAUUGAUGACUGCUGAGUAAAAGAGAGGUGGGUUUGUUCAGGGAGAGGCUACUCAUGCCACAGAAGAUAGCACUGCGCCCAUGUAUAUACUGGAAGCACUAAGGAGACUGACUGUAGGUUAAAAAUAAAAGAACAGAUGAAAUUGAGAACUUGAGUGGUGGGAAGGAUGGAAGAAUUAGAGGGAAAGGAAUGGGAGUGUGUGGGCUCGAUCAAAAUGCAUUAUGUACAUGUAUAAAAUUCUCAAUCAAUGAUAAAACAAAAUAAACAGAUGGAAAAACAAGUCAAGGGAAUGUGAACAAUGUAAAAGGGCAACAACAUCCUUAAGCUAGAAAUGAAUUGUCUCCACAAGGAAAGCACAGGACUUGACAAAUUCUCCAAUGAAUUCUACCAAGCUUCCCAAACGAUUUCACUAAAUAUAAAGGGAAGAAACACUAAGUAAGUUAUUCUUAAAAGGUAGUAGGAUUACCAUGAUGCCAAAACCAUGAAGGGCUCAACAACAAAGAAAACUGUAACACAAUUUCCUGAAUGAAAAUAGAAAAAAAAUUUCAAGAUUAUAUUCUCAAACCAAGUCAACAUAAUAAAAACAUCACCAACUAUAAUGGGGUGAAUUCUUUGCAUCUAAGCAUGUUUCCACAAAUAUCAAUUAGCAAAUGUAGAGAAUAUAGAUAUUCAAGGAUUGAGAGCCUCAAUACACAGAGAAAACAUCAAUGCUCUAUGUUCCCUGAUGAAAAUAUCCUGAAAUUAGGAAGACACCUCACUGUAAGAGAUGUUACACAUGACAAAACUAGAGCCAAGAUUAUACUGAACAGGAAAACUAAAAGCAUCUCUUCAACUAUCAGAAGUUACACCAGGUGUCUACCUUCUCUACAUUGCCAUAGACAUCUCUUGCAUUCUUAGCUGGAAAAUGUAGGAAGAGAAUGGAGAUAGAACUCUAUGGCUUCAGUUCAGUGGUACACCACUUGCCUACCAAACAUAAGCUCCUUGGUUCAACCCUGAGCACUGAGGAAAGAAAACAGAAGUCAAAUGAAGCCAAAUCUCUAUUUAUGAACAAUAUGACAAUCUUAUUAAACUUAUUACUACAUGUGUAUAAGUGUUUUGCCUGCAUGUCUGUCCAUGCACCAUGUGCAUGUCUGGUGCCCAGAGAUCAGAAGAGGGUGUUAGAUUCCUUGGAACUGGAGUUACAGUUGUGAAAUGCCAUAUAGGUGCUGGGAAUCAAGCCUCAGUCCUCUAGGAGAGGAGCCAGUGCUCUUGACUGCUCCUCUGUUCAUAUUCUUAAAAGACCCAAAGUGCCACACUAAGACUCUUACGUCCAAUUAUUACUUCAAAGUAGUACAAUAAAGUCAGUAUAGAAAAACCAGUAUCCAUUUAUAUGACAAUGAAAAUGGUGAUAAAAUAAUUUAAAAAAAAAAUCAUCUUCCAAAAGUCUAAGAAACAAGUAACAAGACAAAAAGUCAAAUUCACCUACAAAAGUCAAGCUGAUUACAUAAUGACAAUUUAAAACACUGAGAAAUUGAAGGCUCUAGAAAAUGGAAAACAUUCCUAUGCUCCCACAUCACCACCAUAAUAUGAAAAGGUGUAAAGUGUUCAGACCCAACACACAUGCUCCCUCAAAAUUCCAAUGUCAUUAUUUCCAGAAAUAGAAAACACAAUCCUGUAACUGAAUGAAAACCAAAAUAUUCCAUAUAGUUAAAGCAAUGCUGAGCAAAAGAGCAAUACUAGCUAAUACGACACCGAUUUAAAUUAUGCUCUAAACCAGAGUGAAAUAGUAUAACUUAAAAACAGACACACUGAGCAAUGGACAGGUAUAGUACCAGAAUAACCAUGUCGUCACACCUUCUAAUUUCAGCAAAGGUAUCCAAAUCAUGCACAGGAUAAUAAAUGGCCUCAAGAGGAAAUCAACACUGUACAUACAAGAAGAUCCCUAAAUUCCUCUAUCAUUCUGUAUAAAAGCAACACACACUAUACCAAAGACCUUAACGUAAGGCCUACAAAACUUGAAACUCAGAGGAAAAUCUACAGAAUACAUGAAGCUAUAGGUGUGGACAGUGGCAUUCUUUUUUUAAAACUUUCUUUUAGUAUAGAAUAGAGCUUAUUCAGGGCAUGGGGAGAGGAGUUAAGAGGGUAGUUGGGGUAGAGAAAGGCAGAGAGAGAGAGGAGUAGAGAAGAGGAAUAGAAAAGUAGAGGCUGGCCAUGAGCACAUGGAAAGAGGGGGAAAAUGGAACAGGGAGAGAAUGGAAGCAGGAAGGGAAGAGCACGAGCAAGAGCGGAGCAAAAGACCAAGAGGACCAUGCAUUCUCAAUCUAACAGUUUACAGGAGGCACGACAAACAGGAAAUGGACAUUAGAGGCUCAUGGCGACAAUGUUGACACCCAGAAAAAGAGGAAGAAUGCUGUAAAUCAGAUGCUAGCCUCAUGCAUUCAGCAAAUUCCAGGCCAGUCAGGCCUACAAAGCAAGAACCCAUGUUAAAAACAAAACAAACAAAAUAAACUUCCCAAAGUAUAAAUGGGAGUUAAUCAUCGUAAGAAGUUAAAGAGCUCUUAUAAAGAAAAAGGAGCAAUUGUUGGAGAAAGCCAUAGAGUGGGGGAAAAUAUCUUUGGACUCUCAUUCAUCUGACGAAGGAUUAACAUACAGACAAAAAGCUCACACACACACACACACACACACACACACACACACACACACACCCCAAGCUUAAAAACUUAAGGUACAUGAAACAUGUGAUGAAAAAAUCAGUACAAGGCAACAAAAAUUACAAGUGAACAAGUAACUGAACCAACACAAAGAGAAACAAUCUAUUCUCAAGCAAUGUACAAAUAACUAAUAAAUACAUGAAAAUUCUUAAUACAAUUACCCCAGUGUGAAUAGCUAUCAAGGAACCAAACUACAACACAAAUUGGUGAGCCUAUUACAGCUGCUCUUGGAAAUGAGCACUAGCAUGGUCACUCUAGAAAAUAGAAUUUCAUCAAAAAUCAAAAUAUACUAUCUUAUGAUCCUGCUGUACUAUUGUUUGGUAUACAAUAUACUAAGUCAGAGUAUACUAGAAACACUUGUACUUGGGUUCCUACACAAUUCACUGCACUCGGUUAUAGAAUCAGCCAAAGUGCCCAUCUCAGCCUAAGUGCCCAUCAAUAGAUAAACUAAUUUUUUUUCAAUUUUUAUAGACUAGGUCACCAAGAACUGUUUGUUAUUAGCAGGAAACUGGAGAACAAUAUGUAAGUGACGACUCAUCUCCAAAUGGUGUUCCUUCUAUACAGAGCAGAGUCUAGACUUUAACUAGAGAAAUGAACCUCUAAGUGAGUCUGUUUGGGAGAACAGAACCACUAGGGAGAAGAAAAAGAACAAGAAACAGUGAUUAUGGUUAAAGUACAUGGAAACCUGGGUCACAAUGUCAUCUGAAAACCUACAGCUUUGCCAGCAUACAAGCUAACAAUUUUUAAAAAAAGGUUUAAAUAAAAACGUUCUAUACAAAGAAAAAGCCCCUUUUUCCAACUUAAGGAAAACAUAAGUGUGGGCAAAAUUGUUGUUGUAGACAUCUAAGGUGUGAUGACCACUACGUUGAGUGUAAAGUGCUUUUCUUGUAUUCUCACUUUACUUAGCAUAAUGUAAUGUUAGGGAAACUCUAGGCACACCUAUAUAUGUGGACGAGUGCAUCCAUCAUAUUAUAGUAAAUAUUAGUGUUUAUAUAGGAACUAAGAAAUGCAAAAACGAUCCAGAACACUAUUGUUUACCUCACAAAGCAAGGUACAUCUUCUCCCUUGUCCCAAGCCUCUACCGGUGAGCAAUGUUCCUUAAUGACUACAACAGAAAAGCAUUCUAAAAGGACACCUUAAGUUAAAACUGUAAAACAUUCUGAUUCAUGAAAUAGGAAAGUACCUUCUUCUCACUGGUGGACUAACUAGCACAUCUCACGACUUCCAUCUCCCUUUAAUCCAGCACUCAGUCUUCUGGAUAACAACCGUUGUGAUUAGAAGAGCAGAACUAUAGUCACCACUCAGCGCAUCCAACACAGGGAACACUGAACUACAGAACCAAUCCCUGUAAGACUUCCAAAUUAAAACGUUAGUUUUGCCUGAAGCAAUAUGGAGAAUCCUUUUAUAGAUGAGCCACUCACUUACCAUGUAUACAGAGUAAAUUUAUUGAACACAUGGUUUUAGUAAGGCAGUACUACCAAUAUAUCUCUUAGUGUAAUAACUAGAGAAGUUACAAUGAAAAUGAAAUACACAUGAAAAGCAAAUUUUACACAGUAAAAUUACAUAAAACACACACACAUACACUAAUAGUUCAUGACUUAAAUAAAAAUUAAGCACAAGUUGACAAUAAUCUGGCCUACUUAGGCUAGCCAAGGCCAUGAAGCAUGACACCAUCUGAAAAAACAAAACAAAA